GCAGGAGCAAGGCCCUUCCCCCUCCCCGUGCAGGGGGGCGGGCGGGCUCUCCCCUCGGGCCCACCCAGCGUAGCCCGCGGGAGAAGCCAGGCCCCGCCCGCGCUGCGGGGCUGGGGGCGCGAACCGGCGGGCGGGAAGCGAGUCAGUACCUGCUCCGCCGCCCUCGGAGCUGGGACAGUAACCGAGCGCAGGCCCCGCCGCUGCCGCCGCCGCUGCCGCAACGGGGACUGUCCGCAGUCCGCACAGCGCCACCCUGCGGGCCCGCCCGCCCGGGAGCCCAGCGGCUGCGCCUCGGAGCCGGGGCGUGCGUGGGGCCAGGGAGUGAGAAAGGGCCGCACCCCACCCUGCACAGCAAACUGCCCCGUAUCCCCCACGGGGGGGCCCGCACCGCGAGCAGCAUCUCUGCCCCAGUGUUCAUGGGCGGGACACCGCACCCGUCUGAGCCCUCCCUGGGGAGUGAGGUAUAGUUGGGAUUAUCCUUGCUUGUCUUCCUGUCAGUAUCCCAGUGUAGGUAUUGCGAUAUACCAGAGACAUGCACCCUAGAAGUCUUCCAAACCAAAAUACCUCAACGUUCAUAAAUGUACCAGGGUGUAGACACAGAAUGGCUUUCCUGGGAUCCAGUGGAUCAUCCCUUCAUGCACCUGACUGGUGUUAAACAUGUCACUGGUGAAACUAUACUGUGAUGACAUCUGUGUUGUGGAUGAAGAGCUCUUCUUGGCUGUAGUAACCAAUCUGAGACUUCAUGCAAAGAUCAUGUAGAUGCAUAAAUAAAAGUUAAUACAAAAAGGAGUUGUAAUAUACAAGGCCAAAUCCCGAAAUCCCUAUGAAGGCAAAAUUCUCAUUGAUUUCAGUGUGAAUUUUGCUUGUGCAGAAAGCGCAUGAUCAUUCUCAAAGUCACUUAACAUAAGUCUCAGGAGUUUUCAGUGGACUUUAGUUAUGAUUCUCAUAUACAAACAUAGUUAAGAUUUGGGGGAAAAACCCUUACAAGAAGGUUGUUAGCAAGAAGCAAACAUUAAAAAGCCAGAAAAUUCAAGGUUAUGAUUAAAAGUGCAAGAAAUAAAAACACAGGCCAUGUUAUAAAUAUGGACUGGGAUAAAGGAGAAGAUUGACCAUUUGAAUAUUUUGUUUAUGGAACUGCUUUCUCUGAGGUUGAAAUUGACUAUCUUACAGGAGAUCAUAAGAUAAUAAAAACUACAAUUAGAUCUGGAGCAGGAGUAGUCAAUAGGUGGACCACAGGCCAAAUCCAGACUGCCAGAUGCUUUUGAAUGGACCCCAAAAUCUUUUUAUUAAUAUCAUUAUUGUUAUUUUAUUAUUAUUAUUUUCUCUGGAGUCUGGACUUUGGCUAUACUUUGAUGAAGAAAUCCGGACCUUGACGAGAAAUAAUCGACUACCUUUGGUCUGGAGAAUAAAUUCACAGAGAUUUUUGAGUUGGUGCUGAACAGAGGAGAAUGUACAUAGUUAUAUUCAGCCAAUACAAUUUACAGCAAAAAAUUCAGAAGAUUAUGAAUCAAGAAUACUACUUUUCAGUAUAAUAUUGCACUGGUACUACAAAACAUACACACAUACAAAAAUUAUGUCAGUAUAUUGCUGCAUCAUAUAUUGAUUAGACCAUUCAGUAAAUUUAAACAAUACUUGUUUAAUAUUUAUUGUGCAUGUGAUCCAUAAAGCAUGUACUAUGUAUGAUGUAUUAAAGUGUUUUGCACUUGCCAUAUUGUUCUUUCCUAACCUAUCUGGUGAAUGAAAAUAUAUCAAUUUGACUUAAGAUAAAAGUAACUGCUGUUUCCAGUGCCACAACAUAAUUUGCUGUGCCUAAAACUAUUUGUAACCAUUUGUUGUGGAUAUUUAUGGCUGUGGUUAUUGUUGUGGGUAUUUUAUAUAGUUAAAUAUUAUAAUACAAUAACACAAUCUAAAUAGUUUGUAUUUUUAUUUCCAAAGUAUCUUCAAUCCUUCCUGUCUCCCGCCCCACUCAAAAAAACCCAAACCAACCCUCCCAAACACAUUUUGUUUGUUAUCCUUCCAUAAUGAAUUCCAAAGUACUUAAUCUACUGUUUUCAGUGGCAUAUUUCUAAUCUACAGCAAUAAGGCUGCUGUUCUUACCUUUCAGUGUUGCAGUAUUAAAGGAAUCAAAUACAGUAAAGGAAGUGUUUUUUCAAUUAUUGUAAUUUGUUUUGCAACUUCUUCUGCUCUGUAGUUGUCCUGCAGUUUUUUUCA